rnacentral:rRNA from 1 species
UGAGGAAUAUUGGUCAAUGGGCGAGAGCCUGAACCAGCCAAGUAGCGUGCAGGAUGACGGCCCUAUGGGUUGUAAACUGCUUUUAUAUGGGAAUAAAGUGAGGGACGUGUCCCUUAUUGCAUGUAUCAUAUGAAUAAGGACCGGCUAAUUCCGUGCCAGCAGCCGCGGUAAUACGGAAGGUCCAGGCGUUAUCCGGAUUUAUUGGGUUUAAAGGGAGCGUAGGCUGUUUGUUAAGCGUGUUGUGAAAUGUAAGAGCUCAACUUUUAGAUUGCAGCGCGAACUGGCAGACUUGAGUGCGCACAACGUAGGCGGAAUUCAUGGUGUAGCGGUGAAAUGCUUAGAUAUCAUGACGAACUCCGAUUGCGAAGGCAGCUUACGGGAGCGCAACUGACGCUAAAGCUCGAAGGUGCGGGUAUCGAACAGG